rnacentral:lncRNA from 1 species
AAAGAGAUUGCAAGACAAAAUAUUUAUGCUGCAGGGACGAUCAAUGAUAGAGACAAUGUUCUGAAACCAUAUUAUGACAAAGAAAUGAAAUUGUGAAAGUUAAAAUGAAAUGAACCAACAACAAUUACAUCCUUUUAUACAUCUUCAUUUCUACAACUUGUGCGUGACUUAAUAAUAAUUGACUUUAAGUUAAAUAAAUUGAGUCAACUAAAUUAACUC